AGAGUUUGAUCCUGGCUCAGGACGAACGCUGGCGGCGUGCUUAACACAUGCAAGUCGAACGAUGACGGUGGUGCUUGCACUACCUGAUUAGUGGCGAACGGGCGAGUAACACGUGAGUAACCUGCCCCUCACUUCGGGAUAACCUCGGGAAAUCGUGGCUAAUACCGGAUAUGAACUUCUACCGCAUGGUGGUUGUUGGAAAGAUUUAUCGGUGGGGGAUGGACUCGCGGCCUAUCAGCUUGUUGGUGAGGUAAUGGCUCACCAAGGCGAUGACGGGUAGCCGGCCUGAGAGGGCGACCGGCCACACUGGGACUGAGACACGGCCCAGACUCCUACGGGAGGCAGCAGUGGGGAAUAUUGCGCAAUGGGCGAAAGCCUGAUGCAGCGACGCCGCGUGGGGGAUGACGGCCUUCGGGUUGUAAACCCCUUUCAGUAGGGAAGAAGCGAAAGUGACGGUACCUGCAGAAGAAGCGCCGGCUAACUACGUGCCAGCAGCCGCGGUAAUACGUAGGGCGCAAGCGUUGUCCGGAAUUAUUGGGCGUAAAGAGCUCGUAGGUGGCUUGUCGCGUCUGCCGUGAAAACCCGAGGCUCAACCUCGGGCGUGCGGUGGGUACGGGCAGGCUAGAGUGUGGUAGGGGAGACUGGAACUCCUGGUGUAGCGGUGAAAUGCGCAGAUAUCAGGAAGAACACCGAUGGCGAAGGCAGGUCUCUGGGCCA
rnacentral:rRNA from 1 species